ACCUGCAGCCCAAGUGGUGCUCGUUAUUAUUGGGUCUAAAACGUCCGUAGUCGGCUAAGUAGAUGCCCGGGUAAAUCGCAGCGCUCAACGUUGCGAAUUCCGGGUAGACCGCUUGGCUAGGGAGUGGGAGAAGUGCGAGGUACUCUGAGGGUAGGGGUAAAAUCCUGUAAUCCUUGGGGGACCACCAGUGGCGAAGGCGUCGCACUAGAACACGUCCGACAAUCAGGGACGAAGCCCUGGGGCGCAAACGGGA
rnacentral:rRNA from 1 species